UGAGUGCGAGCGGCUACGGCCGCGAAGUGGGUGAUGUCAAGCUUCCAAGAAAAGCCCUAUACCCGUUAAGGCAUGAUGGCCUGUACCCGAAACCGACACAGGUGGGGUGGUAGAGAAUACCGAGGGGCGCGAGGUAACUCUCUCUAAGGAACUCGGCAAAAUGGCCCCGUAACUUCGGGAGAAGGGGUGCCACCGCAAGGUGGUCGCAGUGAAGAGGCCCAGGCGACUGUUUACCAAAAACACAGGUCUCCGCUAAGUCGCAAGACGAUGUAUGGGGGCUGACGCCUGCCCAGUGCCGGAAGGUUAAGGAAGCUGGUCAGCGCAAGCGAAGCUGGCGACUGAAGCCCCGGUGAACGGCGGCCGUAACAAUAACGGUCCUAAAGUAGCGAAAUUCCUUGUCGGGUAAGUUCCGACCCGCACGAAAGGCGUAACGAUCUGGGCGCUGUCUCGGAGAGAGGCUCGGCGAAAUAGAAUUGUCUGUGAAGAUGCGGACUACGUGCACCCGGACAGAAAGACCCUAUGAAGCUUUACUGUAGCUUGGUAUUGUGCCCGGGCUCUGAAUGCGCAGGAUAGGUGGGAGGCUUUGAUCCAUGGCUUGCGGGUCAUGGUGAGCCAACGGUGAGAUACCACUCUUUCAGAGUUAGGGUUCUAACGGUCACCCGUCAUCCGGGGACCGGACAGUAUCAGGUGGGCAGUUUGACUGGGGCGGUCGCCUCCUAAAAGGUAACGGAGGCGCGCAAAGGUUUGCUCAGGCUGGUUGGAAAUCAGCCGACGAGUGCAAAAGCAGAAGCAAGCUUGACUGUGAGACCUACAAGUCGAACAGGGACGAAAGUCGGCUUUAGUGAUCCGACGGUUCUGAGUGGAAGGGCCGUCGCUCAACGGAUAAAAGUUACUCUAGGAUAACAGGCUGAUCUCCCCCAAGAGUUCACAUCGACGGGGAGGUUUGGCACCUCGAUGUCGGCUCAUCGCAACCUGGGGCUGAAGUCGGUCCCAAGGGUUGGGCUGUUCGCCCAUUAAAGCGGUACGCGAGCUGGGUUCAGAACGUCGUGAGACAGUUCGGUCCAUAUCCGGUGCACGCGCAGGAACAUUGAGAGGAUUUCUCCCUAGUACGAGAGGACCGGGAGGAACGCACCUCUGGUGUGCCAGUUAUCGUGCCAACGGUAAACGCUGGGUAGCCAUGUGCGGAGUGGAUAACCGCUGAAAGCAUCUAAGUGGGAAGCCCACCUCAAGAUGAGUGUUCCCAUGGCAUAAGCCAGUAAGGUCACGGGAAGAACACCCGUUGAUAGGCUCUACGUGGAAGCCGGGUAACCGGUGAAGCGGAGGAGUACUAAUAGACCGAGGGCUUGAC
rnacentral:rRNA from 1 species